rnacentral:lncRNA from 1 species
GGGAACCACUGCAUCCCCUGGGAGUGGUGACAAUCAAUCAGUCAACCAAUGGGAUUGACAUCAGACCAUUCUGCAUGGUCAUUAUCUAGGUUGUCUCCGCUACCCAGAGGCAUUUUCACACGAAACCUGUGUGGGGAGGUAAUGUUUUGAAGUGCACCCCAAAGAGCAAGAUCUUUCUAAGUAGAACUUGGAUUCUGAAGGCUCUUCUGGCGGCCGGGUGUUAUGGGCUUUGAGGGCUUGGCCUGGGAGUCAAUUAUUAGUCAUUUCCCUGUUAUCUUCUGCAAUCAGGAUGUCACUCGUUCUCUCUGUUGUCAUGUAUUUUCCAGAAUCUUGCUUUGGAAACCUAGGAUCUUGCUUCAGGAGUCUGAGGGCAAUUUUGUUCUUUACCACCUUGGCUGGAAUAAUCCCAUGGUGGCCACACAACAGGGUGCACCCUGCCAAUGAGCCAGAUGAAGCAACCCUCGAUGAUGUUGUGGAGGCCGGCGGGAGUGAGAAGACGGAGGAAGAGGCCCUGGCUGGGGCAAAUGAGGAGGAGGUGGGGCCGGGAACUGAGAAGGUGCAGGAGGAGGCUGCCUGCAUUGACGAGGCAGAGGAGGAGGCAGGCCCAUCCCUUGAAAAUGACGAGGAGUCCCCAGCCAGCGACCUGGUUGAGCAGGAAGACCAGCUUGCCCCCAAGGUGGACGGGAUGGACGAUGAAAGCC